AAUUUUUAUUUAUUAUAUGUAAGUACACCGUAGCUGUCUUCAGACACUCCAGAAGAGAGCAUCAGAUUUCGUUUCAGAUGGUUGUGAGUCACCAUGUGUGCUGAUAUACAUAAGUAAAUAGAUCUUAAAAAACAAAAACAUAUUUUGUGGUAGUAGUGGUAAAAACAUAAGCUUUUAAUUCCAGUACUCAGGAGGCAGAGACAGGCAGAUUUCUUGAGCUGACACCGGCCUAGGCUACAGAAGGACUUCUAGGACAACCUGGAAAAACACUGUCAUGAAUGCACCUGACUCCCACCCCCACACAGGACAAAAAACAUGUUUAACCUCACAUUCCUUUCAGCAUACUGCCCUUCAGGGAUUAGAACAAUGGACAAUUACUUUAGACAAAAACUUGUUUUUAGAAAUGCAAUAUUGUAUAAAGAAAUGCACACUGAUAACUUUAGCACAGGUGCUACGUGAAAAUACUAACAGUGAAGGGGAAAGAGUUCUGUUCCUCCCAUUAGAUCAUGAAUCAUGACACAGAAGGGACUCCAAGGGGGAGCGAAUGCAAUUCU
rnacentral:lncRNA from 1 species